GACGAACGCUGGCGGCGUGCCUAAUACAUGCAAGUUGAGCGCUGAAAGGUGGUACUUGUACCAACUAGGUUAGCAGCGAACGGGUGAGUAACGCGUGGGGAAUCUGCCUUUGAGCGGGGGACAACAUUGGGAAACGAAUGCUAAUACCGCAUAAAAACUUUAAACACAAGGUUUAAGUUUGAAAGAUGCAAUUGCAGCCCUCAAAGAUUAUCCCGCCUUGUAUUAGCUAGGUGGGGAGGUAAAGGCUUAACAAAGCGAUGAUACAUAGCCGAACCGAGAGGGUGAUCGGCCCACUUGGGACCGAGACACGGCCCAAACUCCCAAGGGAGGGAGCCGUAGGGGAUCUUCGGGCAUUGACGAAAGUCCUGACGGGCAACCGCGCGGGAGUGAAGAAGGUUCUCGGAUCGUAAAACCCUGUUGGUAGGGAAGAAAGUUGGUUGGAGUGGACAGCGCACCAAGUGACGGUACCUAAUCAGAAAGGCACGGCUAACUACGUG
rnacentral:rRNA from 1 species